rnacentral:lncRNA from 1 species
GGAAAAGGUACAGAGUUAAGAAAAUUCCCUAUGUGGUCUCAGUCUACAUAGUAUCAUCAGUAACCUCGGCCUCAAGCUAUAUCUCAUCAUCACUGGCUGAGGCAACUGGGUUGCUGAGCAUCUGGAUCAUCUCUUCAGCAGUGUGGGAUGUGGCAACCGGCUCCUCAGACUAACUGGUUGCUGCCUCUGGUGUUGUCUGUGCUAUUGGUGGUAUUGUCUCCAUGAGCAGGUCCAAUGGUAAAUCACCGACAGAUGUAAUCUUCUCAAUCUCUUUUCUCAGCUUAUCCACUGACUUCUUUGAUGCUUGAGAUCUACGCAUCUUCUUGACCUAUUUGCCCAAAUCAUCAAUAACUUCCCCUUGUGCCUCCACUUUCUCCAUGAUUGUCCUCUGGUCGGCCAUAACUUUUUUCAAUACUUCCUCCACUAACAGAGGUGUAUGUGGCUCUCCCGAGGCUGCUGAGGCUGAGGACUAUGCUGCAACAAUACUAGAUAUAUCAGUCAGUUUUUUAGUAGCUUCCUGCAUCCAUUUGUUGAGACUCACAGCGCUGUCUGAGGAUAAGUAGAGUAAGUUGGCACUGGUAAUGGCACUAAUAAUCUAGAUAAAGCCAGUGGACCGGAGGAUGAAGGUGGCAUGGCUGCUAUCCCAGUUGAAAUAGUGGCUGCCGUUGAAGGUUCAGUAGCUUAAUCAGUAACAACUACUGUUGGUUCCUCAGACUUGCUAGCAGAGGUAGUAACUUUACCCUUGAUUUUUCGGUUGGCAGUUCCCUGGAGGUGGUAUUAUGAGAAAGGCUUCUUGGCCUUCACCUUGGUGUCAUAUUGAUAGUCUAUACGAGUCUACCAAACUAUGGAGUACCGGGUCCUCUAUGAGUUUCCACUGAGAACUUUAAUAAAGUAGUAAGUAAAUAAGACAUGAAGUUUUACGUGGAAAAUUCCCUGCUCAAGGGGAUAAAAAACCACGACCUACACUAGUAGGAUUUCAACUUCACUAUGAGCAACUUUUAGAUUACAACUUAUGCAAUCUAGGAAUUAAACUUUUAAUUCCUCACUAACUUGUAAUACACCUAUUACAAGCCACUUUGCAAUGCACCUAUUACAAAGACUUCAACUCAUGGCUAACUUUAGUCACGAUACAAACACAAGGGUUUAUGGUUUUACAAAGGGGUUGCUAAGCAACGUUUCUAGCUAAGAAAAUUAGGAAUUACAAUGAAGAACAACUACAUAGAUACAACUCAACUAAGGAUAACAAAAUACUAUAUUGAGG